UCAUGCAUUGUGUGUGUGUGUGUGUGUGUGUGUGUGUAAAACUAAUACUGCAGUGUCUCCUUGACCCUCUCUCUGCCCUGGUCUUGCCUUGUUGUGGGUGAACGGUGUUUAUUUACCAUUUUGUAUUUCCCAUGUUUUUCUGCAUGACCUGUGACCCCCACAUGUCGCCAUGGUAACAAUGACAGGAUUUUCUUUCUUUUUUUAUAUUUACCACCAUGAGAGAAAUACUGUGUGGUACAUAUGCAUUUUUAAUUUAUUAAAGCAGUUGGUUUUCAUUUGUGCACUGAACUGAACUCUUCUCUGGUCUGAACCUCAUCCACAACACUUGAUCUUUGCAAUGAAAAUGAUAUCAGGUGUGAUUAAAAUAAAUAAAAAAGAAAUCCCAAGGAGCAAGUCUCUUGUUUACUGACACGUUUUAUUUUAUGGAAAAAAAAAAUCAAACAAAAACAUUGGCUGAAUGGUAUUAAAAUAGUAUUACAAAAGAGCAAGUAUUUCUUUAUCAAGUGGUCAGAUUUAAGAAAAAAGGGUCAAUUUGAGUGUAAAAGAAA